UACGUAGGGUGCAAGCGUUGUCCGGAAUUAUUGGGCGUAAAGAGCUCGUAGGCGGUCUGUCGCGUCGGCUGUGAAAACCCGGAGCUCAACUCCGGGCCUGCAGUCGAUACGGGCAGACUGGAGUUCGGCAGGGGAGACUGGAAUUCCUGGUGUAGCAGUGAAAUGCGUAGAGAUGCGGAGGAACACCGGUGGCGAAGGCGGGUCUCCUGG
rnacentral:rRNA from 1 species